AUGGUUACUGGUGGAAGGAAUAGGGGACGUGUUGGAGUCAUCAAGAACAGGGAGAAGCAUAAGGGAACCUUCGAGACAAUCCACGUUCAGGAUGCCACUGGACACGAGUUUGCUACCCGUCUGGGCAAUGUGUUCACCAUUGGCAAGGGUACAAAGCCAUGGGUAUCUCUUCCCAAGGGUAAGGAUAUCAAGCUUACUGUCAUUGAGGAAGCUAGGAAGAGAGCUGCUGCAGCCCAACAAGCAGUUGCUGCUUAA